rnacentral:tRNA from 1 species
GCCUGGGUGGCCCAGUAGGUUAAGGUCUGAUUCUUGAUCUCGGCUCAGGUCAUGAUCUCAUGGUUCGUGGGUUCGAGCCCCACCUCAGGCU